UACGUAGGGGGCAAGCGUUAUCCGGAUUUACUGGGUGUAAAGGGAGCGCAGACGGCAGCGCAAGUCUGAUGUGAAAUCCCGGGGCUCAACCCCGGAACUGCAUUGGAAACUGCGCGGCUCGAGUAUCGGAGAGGUAAGCGGAAUUCCUAGUGUAGCGGUGAAAUGCGUAGAUAUUAGGAGGAACACCGGCGGCGAAGGCGGCUUACUGGACGAAGACUGACGUUGAGGCUCGAAAGCGUGGGGAG
rnacentral:rRNA from 1 species